AAGGUGGGAACUCGGGUGUGUCGAGGAUGGGAACGAAGCCAGAGACCAGAGGACCACCUGACAUGGUUAAACAGCCCUGGCUUAACGUUCCAGACACUGCUGCCAAUACUUGCGGCUGUUAGUUCCUGAUUUCUGCUUAAGGCUUCUGUAACAAGUGCCCAGACCUUGGCACAACUGACUCCAUGAUUGAAGUACCAUUCAGGCCAUUAAACUCAGCACAUAGAUGGUACCACCUGCCAAAAUGAAAACAAAGACCUGAUCCAUCAAAGUCCAUAGUGAUGGAAAUGCCCCUAAAUGACUAACCUUGCUCUUUUUUACUUCUUUAAUUCUGCUUCUGACUAAAUGUGCUUGUUAACUGAAGUGUGUCAACCCGGGAUUUUUUUUUUUUCAUAAAGGCUUGGUGGUACACUGGGAUCCUGAAUACCAAGUAUGCUCUCCAGCCAGCUGAUAAAGAUUUCUAUUGGCUUAAAUUUUAAUCCAGGCAGUGUUCUCUGUUGGAUACCCCACAAUAAUUUCCAUUAGCUUUUAUGUAGAAAUUCUACUUCUCCAAAGAAACCCUGUCUCGAAAAAAAAAUUUUUAAUUAAAUAAAUAAAUUCUACUUC
rnacentral:lncRNA from 1 species